CCUUGUCUUUGAGCUAGGAAGUUAUUGUUUGAUUCUAUUAACUUUCCAUUGUAUUUUGCAUUUCUCUAAGUGUGUCUUUCAUUUCCAGAACUUGCAGUUGUCUUCUUUAUGACAUCUAUUUCUCUGGAGACUUUUUAAUGCAUAUCUUGUAUUGUUUUUAAAUUUUCUUUAAGUUGUUUUUCAUCUUUCUCUGGUACCUCCUUGAAUAGCUUAAUAGUCAACCUUCUGAAUCUUUUAUCUGGCAAUUCAGAGAUUUUUUUCUUGGUUUGGAUCCAUUGCUGGAGAGCUAGUAUGAUCUUUUGCAGAGUUACAGAAUCUUGUUUUCUCAUAUUACCAGAAUUACUUUUCUGGUUCCAUCUCAUUUGGGUGGACUGUUUCAGUAGAAAGAUAUGGAACUCAAGGGCUGCUGUUCAGAUUCUUUUGUCCUACAGAGUGAUCCUUUGAUGGGGUGCUCUCCCCCUUACCCCAGAGAUAAGGCUUCCUGAGAGCCAGACUGCAGUGAGGGGGUUUGCUAUUGCCCUUCUGGGUCUAGCCAUUCAUCGGGGCUACUAGGCUCCAGGCUGGUGCCAGGGCAUGUAUGCAAAGAAUCCUGUGAUAUGAUCUGUCUUUAGGUUUUUCAGCCAUGGAUACCAGCACCUGCUCCAGUGGAGGUUGUAAGGGAGUGAAGUGGAAUCUGUGGAAGUCCUCGGUUGUAGUUUUGUUUAGUGCACUGGUUUUCUUGAAUGCUGGUUAUGCUAGCAGUGAAGUCACAUGGACAGAUUCAGGACCUCUGGUUAGUCAGGAUGUUGCAGAUGAUGGAAUUAGCUAUUGUUUUCUCCUUUGGAGCAGGGUUGUUCUGUUAUGAGUUGUCUGAGUUUGUUGACCUCCAGCCAGGAGUUGAUGCUUUCAGGACACCAGCUGCAGUAGUUGAAGGGCGAUAUAUUCUUGCCCUACAUUAACCAGGUUAAAUACUUGGGUUUCUCAGGUGAUGGGUGGGGCCAUAGAGCUCCCAAGAGUUUAUGUCUUUUGUCUUUGGCUACCAGGGUUGGUAGCAAAAACCCAUAGUGGGGGCAGAGUUAGGCAGGUCUGAGCUCUGACUCUCCUUGGGUGCGGCUUGCUGUGGCUACUGUGGGGGAUAGGAGGUGGUUCUCGGGCCAGUAGAGUUAUGUUUCCAGGGGAUUAUGGCUGGCUCUGCUAUGUCAUGCGGGUCACCAGGGAAGUAAGGGAAAGCUGGCAGUGAGAGGCCUCACUCAGCUGCCAUGAAGCCAGCAAGGCGUCUCAGUCCCACCGUGCCCUAUGAACAGCACAAAGUUCAUACCCAGGCAGCUGGUCAGCACGGCUGAGAUCUUGCCCUAGGUUAUAAGCCUCCUGGCUGAGAAAGGAAGCAGAGCUCUCAGCCCCCACCCCUCUCCACCUGCCUGCACCUUUGGCUGUGGCUUCUGUGCUCAUAUCUGCACUUCCUGUUUGCCUCCUGAGUCCUGCUCAGAAAAAUUCAUGCUUAGUUGAAGUUAUUAUAAAGUUCAGCUAGAAGCUUCCUUCACCCUGUGGCCCCUCCCCAGUUCUACUGGUGGCCUUUCCUGAGGGUCCCUGUGAGAUAAGGCAAGGGAUGGCUUCGCUGGGUUCGAGCUGGGGACCAGGACUGCCUGCAGGGCUCUUGCCACUACUUCUUCUACUUUUAUAUUUUGCUUGGCUCCCUAAAUCCAUGUCAGCUCUAGUGUUGGAAUCCAUGGCACAUGACAAUAAUAAAGAGAUGACGCUUGGCUUCUUUGGUCCUCUCUUCAGCAUUAUAGAAGCACCCGGCAGGAGUUGAAGCUGCCCACUUGACUCUAUGCCUGGUCCCUGUCCCGGAAUGAUGCUGUUUAUCAUGACUUCAGAAGGUACAGAGAGUAACCUAAAUUAUCCUGUUAUUAAAGUAAUAGAUAAACCUAGAGGCUACUCCACAAUGAACAUUCCAUUAGCUCAAAAAACCCACUGUGCUCCAUAAAACUGAUCUUGUUGGCUAUCUGGGCUUGUUUAUUGUUAUGGGAUUUAAGGCAACUUUGAAGAUCUGACUUUGAUUCACUAGAGAAAUUUCUGUUUUAUAUUCUUUCCAAGUACACUAACUUAAAUUCUUCUGAUUUUGAUUUUGUUCAUGCCUUGUACUCUAUCUUCAUUGGAUUUGAUCUUUCUGAUAACUAUCAGAAAUAGCCCCGGGUAUAUUUGAAAGCAGACAUUCCAUCAAUUCUCACAGAAAAUUGCAUAAGAAAAAAAAAAAAAAACACUUGGGAAAGCAGUAGCCUACACAUACCUGGGUUUAGAGGGCAUCUUUUGCCGUCAACUUUGUAGCUCUAAGUAUUCUUCUGUUAUACACAUACCUCCUGUGAAUGGCAGCCAGACUUUCCUUACUUCGGUGUGCAUAUUUACUGGAAGCAGAAAAGCGGUUUCUUGACAUAUGUUGCCUAUUUGCUAAACUACACAAUGACCACCGUUUGGUUCUACAUGGACCCUUGAGAUUCAGGCUGGUUAAUGCAGAGCUGAAAGCAUAUACCCUGAUACUUUACCUGAUAGCAACUGAAGGUAUCAUUCAUUAAUUUAUUCAAUAUUUAUUUAUGGGGUGCCUUUUCUAGGUCAGAUACCAUGGGAGGACCUAUGAUGCAAAGAUGAACUAGACAGGUACAUGUUUGUUCCAAGGAAGUUAUAGUUUAUCCACAUAGACACGAAGCAGGGGAUUAUACUAGUGAUAAUUUAGUUACUCUUGUGGUAGUGGUAUGAAGUUAAAAAGCUAGUGCAUAAUGAGAAAAUAUAAUAAGAAGCCCCAACCUCAUUGGAGAUGGUGAGUUGCAGGGAGGAGUGAGAGUGGGAAGUGUUCAGAACAGCUUCCCAGAAUGGGUAUUAUUUACUCUAGGGGUUGAAAAAUAAGUAGGAAACAGCAAGGCGGAGAGAGGAGUUCGCAGCUCCACAAAUGUGAGAAUAACGAAUGCUUAGAAAACCUACAUUGUUAUGAUAAAAUCUCAGUUAUGCUUAUCUAAUCCUAUAUUUAUUCUGUCACUGAUACUAAGUGAGAAGGACUGUAUGAUCUGUAAAAUCUGUUUAACCUGGUCAGAAUAAAUUAUGAAGAACGAGAGUGGUGUUAAGGAAACUCUGAAGGUCAGGAGAUGAGGCAGAGAUUAUAAAUGUUUGUAAGAAAAAACUUCCUGUUAUAGAUAUCCCGUGAGGGUUCUAACCCAUUCCAAACAGAAUUAUUUACACUAAACAAAUGAAUUUUUUUGGAUAUAGUUGUUGACAUAUGUGGAUUAUAAUAUAAUUUAGCACUAUAGAUCAAAUUGAACCUAAUAUAUUAUCCAACUAUAACAAAAUACGUAGCAUUUUGGGUGUUUAAUAAUGUAACUAUUGCAUUCUCUAUAUGUCUAAAAUAAUAUAAGAAAGAAAAACAGAAAGAAGGAAAGUCAGAUACAAAGGAAAGUCAGACAGAAGGAAAGAAAUAAGCAAGAUGGGUAGAUUUAACAUUUUAUGAAAAAUGUGUUUUAAAUCAAGUAACAUCAUUUUUAAUUCUCCCACUGAAAGUUAAAUACUCAUUAAGAACUGGAAUCAUUUUACAUUGACAAGAACAAUAAACAUAUAUUAAGUGGAAAAUAAUGUAUACUUUUCUCUAGCCCUCACUUUGUAGCUACUAACCCUUUAGGUGAAUCCAAAAUACAGUUCCUAUGUAAAAUUCACUUGUGUUGCCUCUCAAUUAUGGAUGCUUUACCCGACUUAAGGGCCAAGAGAGAGAAAAGGAAAAUAGUAUUGUAGUUGCAGUCAAAUGUCGGCUAGAGCUGCAGUCAUCUGAGCUAACUACUUUACUUAUGUUAUUGAACUUCAUUAUAAUGGCAACUUCUUUUUUUUUACAUGUGGGAAAACCAAAGGUCAGAGAGAUUAACUAAUUUGCUGAACAUUUGAGCUAGAAUUCAAAUGCAGUCCAAAGCCCAUUUUAUAUCUUCUAAAUUAAAGAAAAAAAUGUUUUUCCCCCUGGAGAAAGACUGCUUGAUUUUCUUUAUUAUUUGGGGAUUAGUGGCUGUCUAUAAAAUUCUGGAAAGUCUCAUAAAGGUAAACUUACAUCUGGUGUGUGGUUCAAAGAGAAUUUUCUUAACUAGACGGUAAAAUGUUCCUUCAAAGGGCUGAGCAUAGAAACAUUGCUAAUGACUUUUUGUUCAUAUUUCCUCUUAAAUUUUUAUUUUAUUACAAUUAUAAAUAUGUUUAUUCUAGAAAAUUAGAAAUACAUAAGUGCACAAAGAAAACCUCAACAUGUCAAAGAUAACCAUUAAAAAAAUUGAUAACAUUUUAUCCUAUCCUAUUUCCUUUGAAUACAUAUUUCUAAAGAUGUAUUAGAUACUAAAUGUAAAAUUUUGUAUUAUCUUUCACUUAAUACCACAAGACUUUUUAUCUAUUGCCAGAAACUGUUUAUAAAUAUAACUUUUAAUUUGUGCAUAUUGUUUCAUUGUAUAACUUAGAAAUAUGGGAAAUACUUUAUAAAUCAAUUCUUAUGACUUAUGUUUAGAACUAUUAAAGGAAAUAUAAAGUAUAAUUAGAUUUAACAUUUUCUUUGAGUGAAACCCUUCUAAAAAUAAUUAACUUGUUUCAGAUUAGGUCAUUUGCCAAAUGGGUUGAAUUUGCAGCAAACCUCCUCAGUCAGGCUGUGUAUCUUUCAUCCAUGUUUUUGGAGAAAAUUUUGCCUUUCAAUUCUUUUUUUUUUGGAACGGAGUCUCGCUCUG